UACGAAGGGGGCUAGCGUUGUUCGGAUUUACUGGGCGUAAAGCGCACGGUAGGCGGAUUGUUAAGUCAGGGGUGAAAUCCUGGAGCUCAACUCCAGAACUGCCUUUGAUACUGGCAAUCUCGAGUCCGGAAGAGGUGAGUGGAACUCCUAGUGUAGAGGUGGAAUUCGUAGAUAUUAGGAAGAACACCAGUGGCGAAGGCGGCUCACUGGUCCGGUACUGACGCUGAGGUGCGAAAGCGUGGGGAGCAAACAGG
rnacentral:rRNA from 1 species